GCUCUGAUUCACGUGGGCAGAGAGCACGCUGGCUACUUCUGGAAAAUGGUUCGCCGGGGACAGGGACGUCAACAGCAGGAGUGGCACAGAAACCCUUCUGGGAUUUAUUCAGCCUUGGAGUAACGCUAAAAAGGUGAGGAGGAAAAAUGCAGUUCGGUGAAAUUCACCUCUCAGAAAGGACAGGACUAUAAUUUUAGCUAUUGGUGCGAUGUGAAUGGGAGGAACAUGAAUUCAUUCAACAAACAUCUGCUGCAUAUUCUACUGUGUUCCAGGCACUGUUACCAGAGAUACAGUGGUAAACAGGACAAGGUCCUGCCCCCAGAGAACUGAAAUCUAGAGGGAGAGAGAGAGGCAGGCAAACAGGCAAGUACCGUCAAAUGCGUUGCAUGAUCCUUGAAGCCAGCAGCGGGGUCAUGAGAGCACAUUUGGCGGGAUUUGAGCUGGUCGUAAAGAGUCCAGGAAAAGCUCUGGACGAAGUGACUUCUGACAAGCAAUCUGGAGGUGAGUAGGACUCAGCACAGUGAACAAGGGUUGGGGGAGCGGAGGAGUUUUCCAGAGAGUUUAAAUUGCAUCCCAAAGGUGAGAAAGAGCGGAACGCAUUAAAGGAACGAGAAAUACUCCACCAGACGUGGAGUUCACAGUGGUGGUGAGGGUUGGAGAGGGGGCUGAAGCUCUAAAAUGGGCUGAUUCAGGAAAGUUCUCUCACUGGAGACUGAGACCUCCAAUGGUCCCUGCCACUGUCGCUGACAGUUAACACAUUUCUGGUCCAUUCUGAGCACUUUUGAAGACCAUUUUCUUCUCUUUAGCUCACCUGUUGUUAGAAGGAAAUACUCUAGGGUUUGGAGGCUGGGACAUCAAUUCAUAACGUGUAUGUCAGCCAGCCUGUUGCUGUCAAUAAUGUGACAAACCCAGCCAGAGUCUGCCCCUUGCUUGGCCUGUCAAAUGUGACGUCACCUCCUGCAGCUGCCUGGCGUUCAGGACUUCAGAACAUUCAUGUCUGGAACCCGCUGUGAGGUUCCUUUUGGACCUGAGAGGUGAGUUGAAUUUGGGCACCCAGGCGAAGGCUGCAGAGAAUUUGUUGCAGCAAAAAGAGAAAUGAGACUUUUCUGGUAAACAAGGAAAAUAAGGAAACAGUGAACAGGCUGGGAAACAGCAGAAACAGGCCUGAAAGAGUUAAGCCAUCUUGGUUAUUCUUUAGCUGUUACUACUAGCAAACACGUGUAGCUAGGCGUGUCCUUCAGCAAGCUGAUGGCUCUGACUCCGUGUGAAUUAUCCUUUGCUCCUGGCAUUCUUCUCCCCCGACGCUCCCUUGUAGCACUCUUCAUUUCCGAAAGAAGGGCACGGCCCAUAACUUCAGGGACACCAGGCCUGGUUGCUGAGGCCAUGGAUUUGUAGAAGAAAAGAAAUGCAACACCUUAAUUACUCUGAGCCUUAUCACCUAGCCCAGACCACUAGCCCUGAGCUCCGGCCCCGGGCU